rnacentral:lncRNA from 1 species
GAAGAAACCAGGGGCCAGAACCGACUCAAGCCUCCGUCCUGAGAGCAGCACCCUGGAGUGGAAUCCCACGGGCCUGCAAGAGACAAGCCGGGCCGUGCUUCCUGCCAGCACCUGGCCUGCUGCAGCCCACCUUUCUGUCCACCUGCGGGGCUCGACUCCACCACAGCCACCUCCUCCAGGAAGUCUGCCCAGAUCCCCCCUCCCCUGCUGGUGUCCCAGUAAGCUCCUGCUGUUUACCUGCCCAUCUCCCCUGCUGGCCCACAACUCUCGGUGUUUUAUCUCCAUUUCCCUUUGGCUGCACCCAGGAGAUGUGACUUCGAACUAAGUCUCCCCAGGCUCAAUGUCCC